rnacentral:rRNA from 1 species
UACGUAGGGGGCGAGCGUUGUCCGGAUUCAUUGGGCGUAAAGAGCUCGUAGGCGGCUCGGUAAGUCGUUUGUGAAAUCUCCAGGCUCAACUUGGAGCGUGCAGACGAUACUGCUGUGGCUUGAGUCCGGUAGGGGACCACGGAAUUCCUGGUGUAGCGGUGAAAUGCGCAGAUAUCAGGAGGAACACCGGUGGCGAAGGCGGUGGUCUGGGCCGGUACUGACGCUGAGGAGCGAAAGCGUGGGGAGCGAACAGG